UACGUAGGGGCCGAGCGUUGUCCGGAAUUACUGGGCGUAAAGCGCGCGCAGGCGGCUGGUCAAGCCCGACGUGAAAGCCCCCGGCUCAACCGGGGAGGGUCGUCGGGGACUGAUCGGCUUGAGGGCGGUAGGGGCCGGUGGAAUUCCCGGUGUAGUGGUGAAAUGCGUAGAGAUCGGGAGGAACACCAGUAGCGAAGGCGGCCGGCUGGGCCGACCCUGACGCUGAGGCGCGAAGGCGUGGGGAGCGAACAGG
rnacentral:rRNA from 1 species